AACGAACGCUGGCGGCAGGCCUAACACAUGCAAGUCGAGCGAGCAUUUCGGUGCUAGCGGCGGACGGGUGAGUAACGCGUGGGAACGUGCCCUUUUCUGCGGAAUAGUCCUGGGAAACUGGGGGUAAUACCGCAUACGCCCUUUUGGGGAAAGAUUUAUCGGAGAAGGAUCGGCCCGCGUUGGAUUAGGUAGUUGGUGGGGUAAUGGCCCACCAGGCCGACGAGCCAUAGCUGGUUUGAGAGGAUGAUCAGCCCCACUGGGACUGAGACACGGCCCAGACUCCAACGGGCGGCGGAGGUGGGAAUCUUAGACAAUGGGGGCAACCCUGAUCUAGCCAUGCCGCGUGAGUGAUGAAGGCCUUAGGGUUGUAAAGCUCUUUCAGCUGGGAAGAUAAUGACGGUACCAGCAGAAGAAGCCCCGGCUAACUCCGUG
rnacentral:rRNA from 1 species